CAGGCCUAACACAUGCAAGUCGAGGGGCAACACGAAUAGCAAUAUUUGGUGGCGACCGGCGCACGGGUGCGUAACGCGUAUGCAACCUACCUUUAACAGGAGCAUAGCCCCGAGAAAUCGGGAUUAAUACUCCAUAAUAUUUUUGAGUGGCAUCACUUAAAAAUUAAAGUUUCGGCGGUUAAAGAUGGGCAUGCGUGACAUUAGUUAGUUGGUGAGGUAACGGCUCACCAAGACUACGAUGUCUAGGGGUUCUGAGAGGAUUAACCCCCACACUGGUACUGAGACACGGACCAGACUCCUACGGGAGGCAGCAGUGAGGAAUAUUGGUCAAUGGGCGCAAGCCUGAACCAGCCAUGCCGCGUGAAGGAUGAAGGCCUUAUGGGUUGUAAACUUCUUUUAUACGGGAAUAAACUUAGCUAUGUAUAGCUAACUGCAGGUACCGUACGAAUAAGCACCGGCUAACUCCGUGCCAGCAGCCGCGGUAAUACGGAGGGUGCAAGCGUUAUCCGGAUUUAUUGGGUUUAAAGGGUCCGCAGGCGGACUAAUAAGUCAGUGGUGAAAUCUCUCGGCUCAACCGAGAAACUGCCAUUGAUACUGUUAGUCUAGAGUGUAGUUGGCGUAGGCGGAAUGUAUCAUGUAGCGGUGAAAUGCUUAGAUAUGAUACAGAACACCGAUCGCGAAGGCAGCUUACGAAACUACAACUGACGCUCAGGGACGAAAGCGUGGGGAGCGAACAGGAUUAGAUACCCUGGUAGUCCACGCUGUAAACGAUGAUUACUCGUUGUCGGCGAUAUACUGUCGGUGGCUAAGCGAAAGUGAUAAGUAAUCCACCUGGGGAGUACGAUCGCAAGGUUGAAACUCAAAGGAAUUGACGGGGGCCCGCACAAGCGGAGGAGCAUGUGGUUUAAUUCGAUGAUACGCGAGGAACCUUACCUGGGCUUAAAUGCUUAAUGACGUACUGGGAAACUGGUAUUUCUUCGGACAUUUUGCAAGGUGCUGCAUGGUUGUCGUCAGCUCGUGCCGUG
rnacentral:rRNA from 4 species